rnacentral:rRNA from 1 species
GACGAACGCUGGCGGCGUGCUUAACACAUGCAAGUCGAACGGAGUGGCGAACGGGGGAGUAACACGUGGGGGAACUGCCCUGCACUUCGGGAUAAGCCUGGGAAACUGGGUCUAAUACCGGAUAGUGUGGGAUGGGCGCGGGGCCUAUCAGCUUGUUGGUGGGGUAAUGGGCUACGAAGGCGGCGACGGGUAGCCGGACUGCGAGGGUGGACGGCCACAUUGGGACUGGGACACGGCCCAGGCGCCUACUGGAGGCAGCAGUGGGGAGUAUGGCACACUGGGCGGAAGCCUGAUGCAGCGACGCCGCGUGGGGGAUGUCGGCCUUCGGGUUGGAAACUCCUUUCACCAUAGACGCGGUAGAUGGGGAAGAAGCACCGGCUAACUACGUGCCAGCAGCCGCGUAAUAC